GCCGAGGUGGCGGAAUGGCAGACGCUGAGGUCUUAAACAUCUCUCCUCGCAAGGGGGUGCGGGUUCGACUCCCGCCCUCGGCACCA
rnacentral:tRNA from 2 species